rnacentral:rRNA from 1 species
CUGGCCUCAAAUCAGGUAGGACUACCCGCUGAACUUAAGCAUAUCAAUAAGCGGAGGAAAAGAAACUAACAAGGAUUCCCCUAGUAACGGCGAGUGAAGCGGGAAGAGCUCAAAUUUGAAAUCUGGUAGCCUUCGGCUGCCCGAGUUGUAAUCUAGAGAAGUGUUUUCCGUGCCGGCCCAUGUACAAGUCCCUUGGAACAGGGCGUCAUAGAGGGUGAGAAUCCCGUCCUUGACAUGGACCCCCGGUGCUUUGUGAUACACUUUCAACGAGUCGAGUUGUUUGGGAAUGCAGCUCAAAAUGGGUGGUGAAUUCCAUCUAAAGCUAAAUAUUGGCGAGAGACCGAUAGCGAACAAGUACCGUGAGGGAAAGAUGAAAAGCACUUUGGAAAGAGAGUUAAACAGUACGUGAAAUUGUUGAAAGGGAAACGAUUGAAGUCAGUCAUGCUCUUUGGAUUCAGCCGUUCUGCGGUGUAUUUCCAUUGAGUGGGGUCAACAUCAGUUUUGACCGCUGGAUAAAGGCACUAGGAAGGUAGCACUCUCGGGUGAACUUAUAGCCUAGCGUCAUAUACAGUGGUUGGGACUGAGGAACGCAGCAUGCCUUUAUGGCCGGGAUUCGUCCACGUAC